rnacentral:rRNA from 1 species
AACGCUAGCUACAGGCUUAACACAUGCAAGUCGAGGGGCAGCAUGAACUUAGCUUGCUAAGUUUGAUGGCGACCGGCGCACGGGUGAGUAACGCGUAUCCAACCUUCCGUACACUCAGGGAUAGCCUUUCGAAAGAAAGAUUAAUACCUGAUGGUAUGAUGAGAUUGCAUGGUAACAUCAUUAAAGAUUCAUCGGUGUACGAUGGGGAUGCGUUCCAUUAGAUAGUAGGCGGGGUAACGGCCCACCUAGUCGACGAUGGAUAGGGGUUCUGAGAGGAAGGUCCCCCACAUUGGAACUGAGACACGGUCCAAACUCCUACGGGAGGCAGCAGUGAGGAAUAUUGGUCAAUGGGCGCGAGCCUGAACCAGCCAAGUAGCGUGAAGGAUGAAGGUCCUACGGAUUGUAAACUUCUUUUAUAAGGGAAUAAAGUCACCUACGUGUAGGUGUUUGUAUGUACCUUAUGAAUAAGCAUCGGCUAACUCCGUGCCAGCAGCCGCGGUAAUACGGAGGAUGCGAGCGUUAUCCGGAUUUAUUGGGUUUAAAGGGAGCGUAGACGGGUCGUUAAGUCAGCUGUGAAAGUUUGAGGCUCAACCUUAAAAUUGCAGUUGAUACUGGCGUCCUUGAGUACGGUUGAGGCAGGCGGAAUUCGUGGUGUAGCGGUGAAAUGCUUAGAUAUCACGAAGAACUCCGAUUG